rnacentral:rRNA from 1 species
GAUGAACGCUGGCGGCGUGCUUAACACAUGCAAGUCGAACGGUGAAGCAGGAGCUUGCUCCUGUGGAUCAGUGGCGAACGGGUGAGUAACACGUGAGCAAUCUGCCCUGGACUCUGGGAUAAGCGUUGGAAACGACGUCUAAUACCGGAUACGAGGCGUGGGGGCAUCCCCAACGCCUGGAAAGAAUUUCGGUCCAGGAUGAGCUCGCGGCCUAUCAGGUAGUUGGUGAGGUAACGGCUCACCAAGCCUACGACGGGUAGCCGGCCUGAGAGGGUGACCGGCCACACUGGGGCUGAGACACGGCCCAGACUCCUACGGGAGGCAGCAGUGGGGAAUAUUGCACAAUGGGCGCAAGCCUGAUGCAGCAACGCCGCGUGAGGGACGACGGCCUUCGGGUUGUAAACCUCUUUUAGCAGGGAAGAAGCGAAAGUGACGGUACCUGCAGAAAAAGCACCGGCUAACUACGUGCCAGCCGCCGCCGUAAUAC